AUUGAACGCUGGCGGAAUGCUUUACACAUGCAAGUCGAACGGCAGCACGGGGGCAACCCUGGUGGCGAGUGGCGAACGGGUGAGUAAUACAUCGGAACGUGCCCAGUCGUGGGGGAUAACGUAGCGAAAGUUACGCUAAUACCGCAUACGAUCUACGGAUGAAAGCGGGGGACCGUAAGGCCUCGCGCGAUUGGAGCGGCCGAUGUCAGAUUAGGUAGUUGGUGAGGUAAAGGCUAACCAAGCCGACGAUCUGUAGCUGGUCUGAGAGGACGAACAGCCACACGGGGACUGGGACACGUCCCAGACUCCUACGGGAGGCAGCAGUGGGGAAUUGUGGACAAUGGGCGCAAGCCGUAUCCAGCCAUUCCGCGUGCAGGACGAAGGCCUUCGGGUUGUAAACUGCUUUUGUACGGAACGAAAAGGCUCUGGUUAAUACCUGGGGCUCAUGACGGUACCGUAAGAAUAAGCACCGGCUAACUACGUGCCAGCCGCCGCCGUAA
rnacentral:rRNA from 1 species